GUGCUUGCUCUAGCAGUACAUGUGCUAAAAUUGGAACAAUACACAGAUUAAUUAGCAUGGCGCUGCACAUGGAUGAAAGCAAAUUCAUGAAGCAUUCCAUAUUUUU